UAGUCAUAUGCUUGUCUCAAAGAUUAAGCCAUGCAUGUCUAAGUAUAAACAUCUUUAUACAGUGAAACUGCGUACAGCUCAUUAUAUCAGUUAUUAUUUAUUUGAUGGUACCUUACUACAUGGAUACCCGUAGUAAUUCUAGAGCUAAUACGUGCGUAAAGUCCCGACUUUUUGGAAGGGAUGUAUUUAUUAGAUUAAAAACCAAUGCAGGCAACUGCUCCUUUGGUGAUUCAUAGUAACUUUAACGGAUCGCACGGCUUCACGCUGGCGACAGUUCAUUCAAAUUUCUGCCCUAUCAGCUUUCGACGGUACUGUAGUGGACUACCGUGGCAUUAACGGGUGACGGAGAAUUAGGGUUCGAUUCCGGAGAGGGAGCCUGAGAAACGGCUACCACAUCCAAGGAAGGCAGCAGGCGCGCAAAUUACCCAAUCUCGAUACGAGGAGGUAGUGACAAUAAAUAACGAUGUGAGGCCUUUAUGGUGUCACAAUCGCAAUGAAGCGAAUCUAAAUCACUUCAUGAGUAACAAUU
rnacentral:rRNA from 1 species